rnacentral:rRNA from 1 species
CCUACGGGAGGCAGCAGUGAGGAAUAUUGGUCAAUGGACGAGAGUCUGAACCAGCCAAGUAGCGUGAAGGAUGACUGCCCUAUGGGUUGUAAACUUCUUUUAUAUGGGACUAAAAUGUUCCACGUGUGGGAUUUUGUAUGUACCAUAUGUAUAAGUAUCGGCUAAUUCCGUGCCAUCAGCCGCGGUAAUACAGAGGAUCCGAGCGUUAUCCGGGUUUAAUGGGUUUAAAGGGAGUGUAGGUGGGUUGUUAAGUCAGUUGUGAAAGUUUGGGGCUCAACCGUAAAAUUGCAGUUGAAACUGGCAGACUUGAGUACAGUAGAGGUGAGCGGAAUUCGUUGUGUAGCGGUGAAAUGCUUAGAUAUCACGAAGAACUCCGAUUGCGAAGGCAGCUCACUGGACUGCAACUGACACUGAGGCUCGAAAGUGUGGGUAUCAAACAGGAUUAGAUACCCUUGUAGUC